rnacentral:rRNA from 1 species
GAUGAACGCUGGCGGCGUGCCUAAUACAUGCAAGUCGAGCGAACAGAUGAGGAGCUUGCUCCUCUGACGUUAGCGGCGGACGGGUGAGUAACACGUGGAUAACCUACCUAUAAGACUGGGAUAACUUCGGGAAACCGGAGCUAAUACCGGAUAAUAUAUUGAACCGCAUGGUUCAAUAGUGAAAGACGGUUUUGCUGUCACUUAUAGAUGGAUCCGCGCCGCAUUAGCUAGUUGGUAAGGUAACGGCUUACCAAGGCAACGAUGCGUAGCCGACCUGAGAGGGUGAUCGGCCACCCUGGACAGGAGACGCGGCCCAACCCCCGAGGGGAGGGACCGGUAGGAAAUCUUCCGCAAGGGGCGAAGGCCUAGCGGGGCAACGCCGCGUGAGGUAUAAAGUUCUUCGGAUCGUAAAACUUUGUUUUUGGGGAAGAACAAAGUUUUAAGUAACUAUGCCAGUUUUAACGGUACCUAAUAAGAAGGCCCGGCCAAACUCGGG